UUUGGCAGUGAUGAUUAGAUUACUAAUCCCAGCUCUAUGAGACCUUUGUUUUGUGCGAGGGUCAGGGACAAUACUUUUUCGCACGUCUCGUCUGUCUGAGCCACUCAAU